CCUACGGGAGGCAGCAGUAGGGAAUAUUGCUCAAUGGGGGAAACCCUGAAGCAGCAACGCCGCGUGGAGGAUGAAGGUUUUCGGAUUGUAAACUCCUUUUGUUAGAGAAGAUAAUGACGGUAUCUAACGAAUAAGCACCGGCUAACUCCGUGCCAGCAGCCGCGGUAAUACGGAGGGUGCAAGCGUUACUCGGAAUCACUGGGCGUAAAGAGCGCGUAGGCGGGAUAGCAAGUCAGAGGUGAAAUCCUAGGGCUUAACCAUAGAACUGCAUUUGAAACUGUUAUUCUAGAGUAUGGGAGAGGUAGGUGGAAUUCUUGGUGUAGGGGUAAAAUCCGUAGAGAUCAAGAGGAAUACUCAUUGCGAAGGCGACCUGCUAGAACAUAACUGACGCUGAUGCGCGAAAGCGUGGGGAGCAAACAGGAUUAGAUACCCUUGUAGUC
rnacentral:rRNA from 1 species